CGAAAGCCUGACGGAGCAAUACCGCGUGRGGGAGGAAGGCUCUUGGGUYGUAAACCUCUUUUCUCAGGGAAGAAMAAAAUGACGGUACCUGAGGAAUCAGCAUCGGCUAACUCCGUGCCAGCAGCCGCGGUAAUACGGAGGAUGCAAGCGUUAUCCGGAAUGAUUGGGCGUAAAGCGUCCGCAGGUGGUCAAUUAAGUCUGCUGUUAAAGGUCGGGGCUCAACCCCGAAAYGGCGGUGGAAACUGMAKMGCUAGAGUGCGGURGGGGCAGAGGGAAUUCCUGGUGUAGCGGUGAAAUGCGUAGAGAUCAGGAAGAACACCGGUGGCGAAAGCGCUCUGCUGGACCGUAACUGACACUGAGGGACGAAAGCUAGGGGAGCG
rnacentral:rRNA from 1 species